GGCCCGUUGGUCAAGCGGUUAAGACACCGCCCUUUCACGGCGGUAACACGGGUUCGAAUCGCGUACGGGUCA
rnacentral:tRNA from 1 species